GCAUGCCUUCAUCAUGGUGUUAAUUCAUCAGAUCUCAUUAGAACUUUGUAGUUAUGCAUGCUUAGGCUAAAGUAGUACUGGGAUGGGCGACUUCCCAGGAAGUACUAGUGUUUUACAUGCC
rfam:Picea glauca, whole genome shotgun sequence.